AUGGUUAAGCUAUUAAGAGCACACGGAGGAUGCCUAGGCGCUAGGAGCCGAAGAAGGACGUGGCGAACAACGAAAUGCCUCGGGGAGUCGUAAGCAGACCUCGAUCCGGGGAUGUCCGAAUGGGGGAACCCACGUACUGUAAUAGGUACGUACCCUAGACUGAAUACAUAGGUCUAGUGGAGGCAGACCAGGGGAACUGAAACAUCUAAGUACCCUGAGGAAGAGAAAACAAAAGUGAUUCCGUCAGUAGCGGCGAGCGAACGCGGAUUAGCCCAAACCAACAGGCUUGCCUGUUGGGGUUGUGGGACACUCCACAUGGAGUUACAAAAGAAUGGUUUAGGCGAAGGGUCUGGAAAGGCCAACCAAAGAAGGUAAAAGUCCUGUAGCUAAAAAAUCAUUCUCUCCGGAGUGGAUCCCGAGUAGUGCGGGGCACGUGAAACCCCGUAUGAAUCUGGCAGGACCAUCUGCCAAGGCUAAAUACUCCCUAGCGACCGAUAGUGAAGCAGUACCGUGAGGGAAAGGUGAAAAGGACCCCGGGAGGGGAGUGAAAUAGAACCUGAAACCGUGUGCUUACAAGAAGUCAGAGCCCGUUUAAUGGGUGAUGGCGUGCCUUUUGUAGAAUGAACCGGCGAGUUACGUUAGCAUGCAAGGUUAAAGUGAAGAGCUGGAGCCGCAGCGAAAGCGAGUCUGAAUAGGGCGAUUGUAGUAUGUUGACGUAGACCCGAAACCGUGUGAUCUACCCCUGUCCAGGGUGAAGGUGAGGUAACACUCACUGGAGGCCCGAACCCACUUAUGUUGAAAAAUGAGGGGAUGAGGUGGGGGUAGCGGAGAAAUUCCAAUCGAACUCGGAAAUAGCUGGUUCUCCCCGAAAUAGCUUUAGGGCUAGCCUUGGGGGUGAGUCGUGGAGGUAGAGCACUGAUUGGGUGCGGGGCCCGUCAAGGGUUACCAAGCUCAGUCAAACUCCGAAUGCCAUAGACUUUAAACCCCAGGAGUCAGACGGUGAGUGCUAAGAUCCAUCGUCAAAAGGGAAACAGCCCAGACCAUCAGCUAAGGUCCCCAAGUGUGUGUUAAGUGGGAAAGGAUGUGGAGUUGCACAGACAACCAGGAUGUUGGCUUAGAAGCAGCCACCAUUGAAAGAGUGCGUAAUAGCUCACUGGUCGAGUGACUCUGCGCCGAAAAUGUAACGGGGCUAAACACACCACCGAAGCUAUGGCUUGAUACUUAGGUAUCAGGGGUAGGGGAGCGUUGUGUACGGAUAGAAGGUAUACCG
rnacentral:rRNA from 1 species